AAUAUUCCAUAAACGCCCAGUAGAUUCAUCUCCUCAGACUGCCCCACAUUUGAUGUAGCAGUUGCACAGGCAUGCUGGAUUGACUUCAAGAACACAUUUUCUGUGAUAGCAGGAGAAGAUUGUGUUCAGAAAUCCAAAGAAAGUAGACACAAUUGGAUUCAGGAUUGGGAUAUCUCAUUGCAACCACUAACAGGUGGAUUCUCUUAUUGAUUAUACUUGUGUUGGCCUCUGCUGAUGCUUAUAUGUCACUCAUUCCUGAUGCAUGCAGGAACUGAUGCAAGCUCCUGUGGAGGAACUCGCAAUAUGGAUAGAGGUCAGCAAUUCCCAUGAAGAAGAUGCAAGUGUUUGCAACGUUGUGAAUGAUUUAUCUGAUGAUUCAAUGGGCAAUAAUCUGCAGAAAAGGCGCCCCCAGUGAUGAUGUUUCAGAUGCCAGAGAUUCAACCAACUCCAGCCAUUGACUGUUCACUUCCUGCAGGUUGAUGUAUUUCUUCCUAUUUCAGAUGAGAUCUGAUUGAUACAGAGAAACUUUUUUUUUCUUUUUUUCGUGCUUUCAUGUAUUCUAACCUUCAAUCCAAUUUUUCAGUGUUUUCAGUGAGCAAUCCGGAAGAGAUGAGUUACAUCAGGAGAGCACAUCAUACUGGAAGGUAAUUUUGCUACCAUAUUUUUAAUUCUUUUCAUAAUAUAAGUAUUAUAUCAAACUCCAUGCAUAGUGUUAUUCUCAUGGACUCGAACCUGAAAUCCAUCACAUGAAUG
rnacentral:lncRNA from 1 species